AUGUGGCCAAGCUACUAAGGGCACAUGGGGGAUGCCUUGGCAUCAGGAGGCGAUGAAGGGCGUGGAAGACUGCGAUAAGCCCGGGGGAGCUGUCAAACGAGCGUUGAUCCCGGGAUUCCCGAAUUCGGGCGCGCUGAAUCCAUAGGCGCGACCUGGCGAACGCGGCCAACUGAAACAUCUCAGUAGCCGUAGGAAAAGAAAGAAACCUCGAUUUCCCUAGUAGCGGCGAGCGAAGAGGAAAGAGCCCAAACCGCGGGGAUUUUCCCUGCGGGGUUGUAGGGCCCUCCCCAUGGGAGUUACAAAACGGCCGACUAGCAGAACCGUUUGGAAAAGCGGACCACAGAGGGUGACAGUCCCGUACGCGAAAGACGAGCCGUCUCCCGGAGGGUACCUGAGUAGGUCCGGACACGUGGAACCCGGACUGAAUCAGCGGGGACCAUCCCGCAAGGCUAAAUACUCCCUGAUGACCGAUAGUGAACCCAGUAGGGCGACUGAAAGGUGAAAAGAACCCCUGUUAGGGGAGUGAAAUAGAAUCUGAAACCAUGUGCCUACAAGCGGUCGGAGCGUCCCUUUGGGGCGUGACGGCGUGCCUUUUGCAUAAUGAUCCGGCGAGUUACCGUCAGCGGCCUGGUUAAGGUCCUCAGGACCGGAGCCGCAGGGAAACCGAGUCUGAACAGGGCGUUGUGUCGCUGGCGGUAGACCCGAAACUGCGUGAACUACCCAUGAGCAGGAUGAAGCGCGGGUUAUACCGCGUGGAGGUCCGAACCCACUUGGGUUGAAAACCGAGGGGAUGACUUGUGGGGAGGAGUGAAAGUCUCAUCAAACGCAGAGAUAGCUGGUUCUCUCCGAAAUAGCUUUAGGGCUAGCCUUGAGCCACUACGCACCGGGGGUAGAGAGACUGAAUUGGCGAGGGGGCCUUUCCGGGCUACCCUGCUGAACCAAACUCCGAAUACCGGUGCGACUAUCUCAGGAGUGAGUCCCUGGGGGAUAAGCUCCAGGGUCGAGAGGGAAACAACCCAGACCGUCGGCUAAGGUCCCGAAGCGACGCUUAGUCACAAAGGAGGUUGGAUUGCUGUGACAGCCAGGAUGUUGGCUUGGAGGCAGCCACCAUUUAAAAAGUGCGUAACAGCUUACUGGCCGAGCAAUCCUGCGCCGAUAAUGAACGGGAGUAAGCGUCGCGCCGAAGCCGCGGAAUGCCCGCAAGGGCAUUGGUAGGAGAGCGCUGUGGGUCAGACACACGUCGUACCGGAAGGUGCGAUAUCGGGGCCCACAGGUGAUUAUGCCGGAAUGAGUAACGAUAAAGCAGGUGAGAAUCCUGCUCGCCGAAAGCCUAAGGUUUCCUGGGGAAGGUAAUUCCGCCCAGGGUUAGCCGGUACCUAAGUCGAGGCCGAAAGGCGUAGACGAUGGACAGCAGGUCAACAUUCCUGCGCCGCCGGAGUGGACCGAGGGAGGGACGGCGCCCGUAGGGUGAGGGGACGGCUAGAAGCGUCCCUCGCCUGGGCUCGGGAGUCGCUGUAGGCAAAUCCGCAGCAAUCGACUUUCGGCCUGGGACAAGGGCGUUUACGAUCCUGAUGUCAUCCGAAAGGCGUCCAAGAAAAGCUUCUACGGGUUGAAGCUCCGGCGACCGUACUAAAACUGACACAGGUAGGCGAGACGAGAAGUCUAAGGCGCUCGGGAAAACGCUGGUUAAGGAACUCUGCAAAAUGACCCCGUAACUUCGGGAUAAGGGGUGCCCCUGGGGGUGCAUGCUUCUGGGGGCCACAGUAAAUCGGCUUCAGCGACUGUUUAUCAAAAACACAGGACUCUGCUAACUCGCAAGAGGAUGUAUAGAGUCUGACGCCUGCCCGGUGCCGGUAGGUUAAGGAAGAGUGUUAGCCGCAAGGCGAAGCACGCGACCGAAGCCCCGGUAAACGGCGGCCGUAACUAUGACGGUCCUAAGGUAGCGAAGUUCCUUGUCGGGUAAGUUCCGACCUGCAUGAAUGGCGUAACGACUGGAGCACUGUCUCAACCAGCGACCCGGUGAAAUUGUAGCCGUGGUGAAGAUGCCACGUUCCCGCAGCGAGACGGAAAGACCCCGUGAACCUUUACUGCAGGCUGAUAUUGGGCUGUGGUGUAUCCUGUGUAGGAUAGGUGGGAGGCGACGAGGCCGGGACGCCAGUUCCGGCGGAGCCAACCUUGAAAUACCACCCUGGGUAUACUUUAGUUCUAACUCCGAUUCCCGUAAUCCGGGCGGAGGACAAUGUCAGUCGGGCAGUUUGACUGGGGCGGUCUCCUCCUAAAUCGUAACGGAGGAGUCCAAAGGUACCCUCAGCCUGGUUGGCAAUCAGGCGUCGAGCGCAAAGGUAGAAGGGUGCUUGACUGCGAGACUGAUAAGUCGAGCAGGUGCGAAAGCAGGGCUUAGUGAUCCGGUGAUUCCGUAUGGAAGGGUCAUCGCUCAUCAGACAAAAGGUACUCCGGGGAUAACAGGCUUAUCGCUCCCGAGCGUCCAUAGCGGCGGAGCGGUUUGGCACCUCGAUGUCGGCUCAUCGCAUCCUGGGGGUGGAGAAGCUCCCAAGGGUUCGGCUGUUCGCCGAUGAAAGCGGUACGUGAGCUGGGUUCAGACCGUCGUGAGACAGGUCGGUCCCUAUCUGCUGUGGGCGCACGAAACCUGAGGAGGUUCUUCCUUAGUACGAGAGGAUUUGGAAGGACGCACCUCUGGUGUCCCAGUUGUCGCGCUAGCGGCACGGCUGGAUAGCUAUGUGCGGAAAGGAUAAACGCUGAAAGCAUAUAAGCGUGAAGCCCUCUCCAAGAUGAGGUUUCGUAAGAGCGCAAGCUCGAGAGCCCCCUGGAAGACUACCAGGUUGAUAGGCCGGAUGUGUACGUGCAGCAAUGCACUCAGCUAACCGGUACUAACGGGCGAAAGCUUGGCCACAU
rnacentral:rRNA from 1 species